rnacentral:lncRNA from 1 species
CCUAGAAUAAAUCCCACUUGAUGAGAGCAUAUCAUUAUUUGUACACAUUGGUGCAUUAAGUAUGGUAAUAUUUAUUGAGGAUGUUUGUUUCUAAACUUGAGUUCAUAUUGGGCUAUAUUUUUAUAUUGGCAUCUUCUACUUUUAGAAUCAAUAUAAUUUUGGCCUUGCCAAAUGAGUUUAAAAGUAUGGCCCCCUCUCCUAUUUUCUGGAGGAGAUUGGGUGAAAUUGGUAUUAACUAUGACUGGUAAAAUUUCCAUCUAUCUGGAAAUUUCUUUUUGGAUAGUUUUAAAUUACAAAUUCAAUUUCUUUAAUGGUUAUGGUAGUAUUGUAAUUGUCUAUUUCAUCUUGAUUGUGGUUUGCUAGUUCAUGCAUUUGGACAAAUUGGUCCAUUUCUUUCAAAUUGUCAAAUUUCUGAACAUAAAGUUGUUCAUUGUAUUUCUUUAUUAUCAUUUUUAAUGGUUGCAGGAGGUAUAAUGAUGCUUAUGUGUCACUUUUGUUGGGGUUUUAUCAAUUUUUUUCCAUGUACCACCUUUUGUUUCAUUGAUUGGGGGGGCAUGUUUUCCUGUUUUCAACUUCACUUAUUUCUGC